GGCUGGUUUUGGGAUGCAGUGGUGGGAGUGGAGAUUUUGAAGCUUGUGAAAUCCACAUUGAUAGCAUUGGGCUGCAGAGUUCCCAAGGCUCAGUUAAGGAAGGACAACAAACAUUGAUCAGUCAGUCAUACAUCCAGCAAGAAAACUUUAUUUUUUUUAAAAAAUAGGAUGCAUCUGUUAAUCAAGUGGCAAAGCAUUAUCGAGUUUUGAGAAGAUUUGUAGCUCAGGGUUCAGGUUCUGGAAUGUAAGAUUGCUCAAUGAGCUGGAAGGUUAGUUUUCAGAUGAUUCGUCACCAUUCCAGGUAAAAUCAUCAGUGAGCCUCCGGUGAAGCGCUGGAGUUCGGUCCCGCUUUCUAUUCAAGUGUUUCGGUUUCCUUGGGUUGGUGAUGUCAUUUCCUGUUCUUUCUCUCAGAGGAUGGGAGAUGGAUUUGGAGCCAAUGUGUCCUCCCUGGUGUAGUUUGUGUAUGGAAUGAACUGCCAGAGGCUAUUAUACUCACAGUAUUUAAAAGUCACCUGCAUGGACACAUGAACAGGAAGGGUCUGGAGGGAUAUGGGCAACAUGCUGGCAAAUGGAACUAGUCAGUUACGAUAUCUGGUCGGCCUGAAGGGUCUGUUUCCCUGCUGUACAACUCUGCGACUCUGUCUCUUUGUCUCCCCCUCCCCCUCUCUCAUUUGCUCCAGACCCACCCCCAACCACACACACAAUCUCUGUCUCUCCAUCUCUGUGUGUGCGCCUCACUCUCUGUCUGUCUGUGUCUCUCUCUCUCUCGCUGUGCACUUCUCUGUCUCUCUCCUUCUCUUUCACUGUCUCUUUGGUCUUUGUGUGUGUGUGCCCCUCUCUGUCUCUGCCUCCCUCUGUGUGUGCUUCUGCCUUUCUCUCUCUCCGUCGACCCCCCACCCACUCUGCGCCGCCCCUCCCCCCGCCUUUUCCUCCAUCUCUCUUACUCUCUAGCCGAGCCUCUCCACCCGCUCAGCAGGGAGCGUUGUGAGUUUCUUUCGAACAAAGUUUAAAGAUCUCUGUUUGAACCCAACCCAUCCGCAAUCAGACUGCAUUUCUAAUCCCCCUCUCUCUCUCUCUCUCUCACACACUCACACACACACACAGUCUGUCUCUUUCUCCCUUUCAGUCAAUCCCCUUCCUCUCCUGGUCCUACUCACGCCUUUUCCCACCCCCCGACUCUGCCUCGGCGAUGAGUCCGCUGUCUGGAUCCCUUUACCCAGGAGUGGGCUGAGGACCCAGCGGUUCGGCAGCGGGGAUCAUCGCACCACGCUCCUGGACCCCUCCAACCUCCUGUUCUCCAGCGGCCUCCAGCAUGACCACCGGGCUAGGAGCAGGCAUCCGGGCUGCCGGAGCGCUCGCUGCUCAGUGGCUCAGCCCUGCGCCGCCUUUGCCGGGAGCGGGGAUCCGAGGUGGGAGAAGGCCUCUUCGCCCGGCUCCUGGGCACAGCUACCUGCCUGAACAGCUGCCUGGCACCGAGCCUGCGCUCCCCGAGCACCCGGCCUAGGGUCCGCGACGCCUUCCGGGGCUGAGUAGCCGAAAACUAUCUCCUACUGCAAGUCUUUUCCAGUCCCAUGCUGAGUAUUGUUAUCCCAAUAGUUCUUUAAUGUCAGUGUGUGUGUAUUCCUGGGCGACUAUGCUCGUGUGGUCUACGGAGUUGUGGAGGUCACAGUUCUAGGACAGCCAUUUCAUAGGCCUCUGCUGCAGAAUCUACUCCGGAAGAGAGAGCCCAGAGAAUUGCCAAAGCUGUCUGCAAGCAGUCAAUUGACAUGAAGGAAAAUUGGGAGCAAUUGAAAACCCAUGCGAGCAACUGGCAGAACAAGGUGGAAAAGGCGUUAGAGAAACUUCAGGAACUGCAGAAAGCUCUGGAUGAUCUUGAGUCUCAUGUGAUAACAGCUGAGGGGGUCCACAUUGAUUGGCAACCUGUGAAUGACCUGUUUAUUGACGCAUUGCAGGAUCACAUUGAUAAAACCACAGUUAAGGACUGCCUGCAAAAUCUGAGAUUGGGUUUUGAAACACAUCAACCUUUGCUUGCGAGAGAUAAUGGUAACUGCAGAUGCUAGAGAAUGCGAGAUAACAAUGUGUGGAGCUGGAUGAACACAGCAGGCCAAGCAGCAUCUCAGGAGCACAAAAGUUGACAUUUCGGGCCUCGACCCUUCAUGCGAGAGAACGUAACGUUUUUAAAGAAGAAAUUGCCCCAGUCAAACAAGAAGUCAAAAUAUUAAAUGAUCUGGGAUGUCAGUUAUCUCCGCUUGAUGUCUCUUUCUCUCCAAAGAUUUCUCACCAGCUUGAUGACCUAAAUAUGAGGUUGAAAUUUAUACAGCAGCAGGAGGUGAGGAGGCAGAGACUGCAACCCUGAGGUCACGGAGGGAAGGAAAAGAGGCUCUUACUUGGAGAUUGAGAAGCAGGAGAGGGCACAACCCAGAGGUUUGGGAGUGGAGAGAGGCUGCAAGUUGGAGGUCAAGGUGAUUUAAACACCGUGCGUUUUUCUGCAUAUCGGCCAGCAUUGAAGAUCCGCCGACUCCAGAAAGCGCUCUGUUACCACAUCAGGUGAAGAUGUGUGUGAUUUCACCAAGGUGCUGAAAAAUAACUUCAGAUCAAAGAAAUACUUUGCCAAACAUCCUUGCUUGGGUUAUUUACCACUACAAACAGUCCUAGAAGUAAUUGCAUGACAGUUUGAAUGGUUCGUUGAGCGUGAGGCAC